rnacentral:rRNA from 1 species
ACUCAAAUGAAUUGACGGGGGCCCGCACAAGCGGUGGAGCAUGUGGUUCAAUUCGACGCAACGCGAAGAACCUUACCAGCUCUUGACAUGUCUCGUAUGGGUUUCAGAGAUGAAAUCCUUCAGUUCGGCUGGCGAGAACACAGGUGCUGCAUGGCUGUCGUCAGCUCGUGUCGUGAGAUGUUGGGUUAAGUCCCGCAACGAGCGCAACCCUCGCCUUUAGUUGCCAUCAUUUAGUUGGGCACUCUAAAGGGACUGCCGGUGAUAAGCCGCGAGGAAGGUGGGGAUGACGUCAAGUCCUCAUGGCCCUUACGGGCUGGGCUACACACGUGCUACAAUGGCGGUGACAGUGGGAUGCAAUGGGGUAACCCUGCGCAAAUCUCAAAAAGCCGUCUCAGUUCGGAUUGGGGGCUGCAACUCGCCCCCAUGAAGUUGGAAUCGCUAGUAAUCGUGGAUCAGAACGCCACGGUGAAUACGUUCCCGGGCCUUGUACACACCGCCCGU